CUCAGUCCCCCAUACCCCCUCGCCCUGAACUCAGUCCCCUAUACCCCCUGAACUUAGUCCCCCAUACCCCCUGAACUCAGUCCCCCAUAUACGCCCUGAACUAACAUUAGAUGGGUGAGAAGCAGGGCCUGGUGGAGGGUUUGAAUAACAGCUGUUAAUAUGUUGUGAUUUUGACCUUCCGGCUAACCUGACACCUUCCCAUGACAACGCUACCUUAUCAAAGUAACAUUUUGGCAUAUCAUUUUGACUGACACGUCCUGAUCCUCCAAUCGUUUCAUUAAACCUACAUUUAAUUUAUAACAGAUGCCCCCCCCCCAGGACGGAAACAGGAUUCAGACUAUGACUCUGCACUGUGAAUUACACGUGUGCCUUGAUUUCCUCCCAAGCUGCUCUCAGUGUAAACAGCAGACCAGAGGAGUCUAACAGAAGCGCAGAGUAGGGCUGCCUGCCUGUGUCUUCAGGGAGGGAGAGACAGGCUGGCUCGGUGGAGAGCCUGGCUGGGUCUAGAUGACGCAGCUCAGAGUGCUGGAAAGGAGGGGGUCUGGAAGAGCCCUGGCUGACGCUCUCUGUGUGGGAUGAGAGGAGGAGUGUGUGGGUGGACUGCGUGGGGUGGAAGCAUAAUCAGACGUAUUGGGUCUUCUCUCCUUUUUUUAUUUUUUUUCUCCUCUCUUCGUGUUUCCCUGUUCCCCUUGAGGCACCAGCUCAUUGAUGUGGGCUCCCCUCUUUCUUCCUCCCUCCCAGCCCCCCCCCCCUCUCUCUUUCUCUCUCCCUAUGAGUCAUUCCAGAGUACCUGCUUGGACUCUUUAACAAGCUCCCCCUGCCUCACGCCUCGCAUUCCCUGUUCUGAAGGAGAAAUAAACGAUUCUGUGACGUGCUGCUGUACUCCCACACUGUUGAACACACAGCCUCAUGAAAUCUCCUGCUCCAUGAACAAUAAUUCACCCCACAAAGUUUUUGAUGUCAAUAUAUGCGUCCCCCUCCCCCUUACAAAUAAGUUUCAUUAAAGGAGGGACCUAAUUCUGUUGCGUGCAUUUCCAACCUAUCGGUCGUUGCCGUCCGUGUCAUGGCAGCAUCCGGAGACUGGGAACGCGGCUAAUCAGGGAGAAAUGGAGGCGCGGUUUAUUGGCAACAGCCAGCCAAGCAGCAUCCUUUCUGAGUCACUGGCAGGCAGGCGUCUCCCACGCAUUCUGCCAAGGCUUGGAACCUGCUCCCCUCAGUUCGAAGGCAAUCAGAGAGAGACCCGGGCGGGUAGGUUUUGUGGGUGGGGGGUGGGCCCUCCUCUGCCGUAAUCCCAGACACUUGACAGAAUACUGAGCUGCCAUUUCACUGCGAGGAUGAGUAACACGGGGGUCCCAAAGGGGACACAUUGAAAUCUAUAUCAGUUUGUGCAUCGAGCCUGAGACGGGCCUAGCGCCCUGGACAGGACAUCACGUUUGUGUCGAAGCCAUGCCUUCCUAGGUCCUGGCUGCAGCCUGGUGCCUUCUGUCCGACUGUAAAAGACUGGUUGGCUUCACUUUUCCACGUCUGUCUGGGUGUCAUGCCGGCUGGAUGUGUACGGGCCUCCCGUCCUCCCGCUCGCUGCGAAUGGCCACGGAGUUCUACUGCACCGGCUCGGCGAAGGCACGAUACAGGCGGAGGAGAUGGUUGUUCUGCCAUUCCUGGCUCCCUGAGGAUGGGGAGAGGCAUGUUUUGACAGCCUCGUCUGCAGGACGCAGUAGCAGGGCCGGAUACACAACAGUGGUUUGUUUCAACAGAUAUCGUCUGUCUGAAGACCGUGAUGAUGUGAUGAUGCAAGGUUGAAGCAGCGGAGUGAAACAAGAAAGGGGCUAGGAAGACUCUGACUAUCCCCCUCUACCGAUCACAUUCUGGGACUCCCCACACCCCACCCUAACUGUAUGAAUGUAGCUGUUACCAUGACAAUAUUUGUAAUGGUAAUAAUAACAGUAAUUUAAAUUUAAAGAUUCAUAAAUGGCAUGAUAUGCAGAUUUAAGGACGGGGAACUAUUGACAAGACAGGCAUACACAGCUAGUCAAGAAUGUCUUGGCUUGGUUUUUGAGUUUGUGUCUGGGUGUUCUUUUAUUCCCACUAUGUUUUUAUUAUUUAUAUAAAUUGCACCCCCAUCCUCACCAGCUGUGUUUUGUCUGUUUCUUUUCACUUUCGCUUCCAACAGCAUUCAAUCAAUUCAAUUAACCAUCGACUUUAGGAUCCCUGGUCAGUUUGUUUCUGUGUGUAGGAGUUGUGGCCAGACAUUGGCUCACAGCGGUCGCUCCCAUUUCAUAAGUGUGAAACUUUAAUUCUUUACUUUAAGAUAACCAAAGUUGGUGUGGGUUUUCUGUUUGAGUUUAUUAUUCAGGCAGAUGUAUUGGGCAUAUUUGGUGUUUGUGAAGACCCUACUGGAGUUGCUUGGCCCAGCACCUAGUGGCCCCUUUCAUAGAUGCCUCCCUGUACCCAUUUAGGGCCCCACUUUAAGUUUUAGUUUUGAUCAUCAGUGACUCUGUUAGUUCCCUUUAUGGUUGACGAUAUUUGGGGUUGGAAAUUGUAUCCGAGUCACUAACAAAAUCAAUGGAUGCUCCUUGUUGGUAAAUUGACAAUGAUAAUUACACGUUUACAUACAUGGCUGUUAGGGCGACAGGCCAAUCUACAAUGUUAUCUGGCAUGCUGCAGUGUAAUAGUUACUGUCAGAGAAACUGUGGCAUCACAUUUCAGACAUGCACCUUCCUGAAUAUUCUAAAUGAACACUAAGACCCCAGCUGAGUAUCCUGAGUCUACAAAUAAACUCCUGUUGGUUGAUCUGUCUAACACAUGUGCUGCUCAGUAUAGCUUAUUCCACUGAAGGGCCAUCUACUUCACGCUGCUCAAACUAGUGUCCCUCUGAUCUUAAACACGUGUGACUGCCUGCCUUGACAGUUCUCCGUGUUGAGCUAAACAAAAGGUACCAGUUGGAUCUCCAACAGGGAUAUGUCACGCUAGCUGUGGUGUGAGCUUUACUGUGUGUUGUUUUCUGUUAUAGUCGCCUCUUCUGAACUCGCCAAAUUGGGCGCGACACCGUCUGUUGAUCUGAGCCCAUCUGGAGAUCCGGGUCACAGUCUGCCAGUUGCCCAUCCCUGUUGAUACGGGCUGGUGGGAGGGUUGAUGCACAGCCUGCUUUGAUGAAGCUAUGUGUGACUCCUGCUGUGACUGCCUUGCUUUGAUGGAGACUGCCUGGCUAUUACUAUUGAUCCAAAGCAGGGGUGUCAAAAUCAUGUCAAGGAAGGCCUACUGUACUUUUAUUAUUUUCCAUUUAAGACCUAGAUAACUAGGUCAGCUGAGUUUCUUACUAAUUUAUGACCUAAUACAACGGUCAAAUACAAGGGCAGAGCGACAACCCAUAGACUGUGCGGAAUGAGUUGGACACCUGCGAUCGACUGUUCAGUCGAAGGCUAUGCUAACUGAACAACAGAGACAGUGCAAUAUGAAUGUUUAUUGAAUAAUAUCACAAUAACAAUCCUUUGAACUCUGAUUGUAGCUAGCUAGGCCAGAGUGGGCAAAAUGCGUUGAGAUCCUCUGCUGGUGGAGUUUUAUUUAAAGCCUUUAAUGGUAGUUGUGGGGAAAUCUUGGAUGAAACACAGGAGGGACAAAGGUAAAUUCACAUGCAUCAUACCUCCAAGAUGCACUGUACAAAUGUCUUAGGUCCUCUUGAGAAUUGUUUAAUGCUAUUUAUUUUGGAUGUAAAUGUUUAUUUGCUUGCAAAAAUACUAUAUGACAUUAGUAUGAAUACAAAUGAACUAUUCAGUAGGGAGUAACUAGAAUUACUUGUUUUCCACUUGGUCAGAUGGCUAGGUGAAAUGUUGAUUUCUGAAGAAACUGGUGACACUGAAGAAAGGAAACAGUGGAAAACCCGAAAUGCUGAUUGCAUCUGAUGAACAGUACUUAAAGGUCACUUGUGGGACAGAAGGUAAUCUGGUGAAGUAGCUGCUUAGCAUAUGGCACCAAAGUACACACUUUGUCCUGAAGAAAGUUUUACAACAAAUUGCCAGAAAUGGUUUUAGACUGAUUGGGAAAACUCAAUCCUUCAGCAAAAUAAUGAUGCCAGAAA